rnacentral:rRNA from 1 species
AACGAACGCUGGCGGCAGGCCUAACACAUGCAAGUCGAGCGCCCCGCAAGGGGAGCGGCGGACGGGUGAGUAACGCGUGGGAAUUUUUCCUGGAGUACGGAACAACCGAGGAAACUUCGGCUAAUACCGUAUGAUGUCUAGCGACCAAAGAUUUAUCGCUCUGGGGUAAGCCCGCGUCAGAUUAGGUAGUUGGUGGGGUAACGGCCUACCAAGCCUGCGACCUGUAGCUGGUCUGAGAGGACGANCAGCCACACUGGGACUGAGACACGGCCCAGACUCCUACGGGAGGCAGCAGUGGGGAAUCUUGCGCAAUGCGCGAAAGCGUGACGCAGCAACGCCGCGU